ACUGCAGCCGUAGGUCAGUGGAGGGGACAGCCAGAUUGCUCUACAUCUGCACUUCCUUGGAUAUGGCCCCUUUUUCCAUCUGGAUGCUUUCUUUAAGGAUGAAAGAUGUGAAUGUCACUUGAGCCCAACAGAUCUGCGUACAGAGGAGUUUACAGUCUAAGGAAGAGACAAGGCUGGAGCAGAUGACAAUAAACAAGGGAAUGUAGCAUGUGUGUUGUUGUAAUUCAGUCUAAAAAUUUUAGCAGAUACUUUAUUCAUUUAUCCUCUUGCUCUUCCUUAUUUAAGGAACAGCUAUAGGACGCAUUAAUCAAGUAGGUGAAGAGUCAAGAGCUUUAUCUUUAAUAACAUUAAAAUUUUUCUUGUUGAACUUUUUCCCUAUGGACCCAGUACUCAGCUCUGGCCAAGUAUCACUCAGCUGAGGAGCCAUAGCAAACAGACAAAACAGGUUAAGAGGGAUUUAUGUCAGAGAAACAGCAAGUGUAUUUUGGUCUUAGAAACGUAAUCGUUUAAUACAAGAGUGCAUCUUAAGCAUCUUAAUAUAUAGUUAAUCUGUAUGCUGAACUUCACUCUCAAUCCACGUAACUCAACAGCCAUUGUUCAGCGAUGUUACAAACCCUGUAAAGUAACAGAAGGUGCUGAACAAGCAACUGGGAAAAAAAAAAUAGACAAGAUGCACAACUUUUAAAACCUAAGUAAGAGCAAACUGACAUGCAAAGGGAGAAUAUAGCAGAUAAGUACGCAGUCAGAGCUCUGUCAGUUGUGACUGAAAAGGAUGUGUGGUAACCCUGCCCAGAUCGGUGCACAUAGGGUUUGUUUUUGUUGCUUUCCAAAAAUGCACACAAGCCUUUGGCUGCAAGGAUAUGAUAUAUGCAAGGACAAAAUGUUAGGAGACAGAGAGAGAAACCUGGGAUGAGUAAUAUUUGGGGAGUCUGUUACAAAGUGCAUGGGUACCAGAGACCUAAAAAUUCUUGGGAGAAAGAGUUAUAACCCCUGACCUGGGAAAUGCUGUGUGCCAGAAGUGACUGGGAGCAGGGUGCAUUUGUAUGAAGUUGAUUUUCUAAUUCCCACAGCCCAUUAAAGAUCCUUCUCCUUUGUGAGAAACCUUUUCAGAUCCUCUCACCCACUUCCCCCACCCCAACAUAUUCACCCCCUACCAAUUCCAGUUUGUACCCUGCUCUAGUGCUUUUAAUUUUCUGAAUAUAUUUCAUGAUGACUUUUGCCCAUGGAAAUGCUGCGGAAGCCGCUGUCGGGUGUACCGUGCCUUUCCUGAGCUGAGUUUUUAUCUUUUAAGAACACUUUAAACCUGCCAGAGACAAAAUGGGAUAUGAAGAACCAAUUUCAAUUACAAGUGUGUGAGGUGGUUUCCCAGCAACAGCAGUAUUUAAAAGCAACAAAAAUUAGCAUACCUU